rnacentral:rRNA from 1 species
UAUGUGUCUUGACCAAAUUACGUGCCAGCAGUCGCGGUAAUACCGUAGAAGACUAGUGUUAUUCAUCUUUAAUAGGUUUAAAGGGUACCUAGACGGUAAAUCAAGUCCGAAAAGGAUACUAGUUUGCUAGAGUUUAAUAUGAGGGGGCACUAAAGUACUGAUAAGUGUAGAGAUGAAAUUCUGUGAUACAAUAUACGGCACUGGCAAAGGCGAAAGCAUCUCAUUAUGUAAUAACUGACGUUGAGGGACGAAGGCUAUGUGUAGCAAAAAGGAUUAGAUACCCAAGUAGUCUUAGCAGAAAAUUAUGAAUGUCAUAGGAUGGAAAGAGUAAAAAACAAUUUUUUUUCUAUAAAUGAAAGUGUAAGCAUUUCACCUCGAGAGUAAUUUGGCAACAUUGGAACUGAAAUCAUUAGACCGUUUCUGAAACAAGUAGUGAAGUAUGUUGUUUAAUUUGAUGGUCCGCAAAAAACCUUACCACAAUUUGAAUAAAAAUUUAUUUUUUUUACAARCGSAUGCACG